AGAGUUUGAUCCUGGCUCAGGAUGAACGCUAGCGGCAGGCUUAACACAUGCAAGUCGAGGGGCAUCGGGAGGGAAGCUUGCUUUCCUUGCCGGCGACCGGCGCACGGGUGAGUAACACGUAUGCAACCUGCCCUCUUCAGGGGGACAACCUUCCGAAAGGGAGGCUAAUCCCGCGUAUAUCGGUUUCGGGCAUCCGAGAUCGAGGAAAGAUUCAUCGGAAGAGGAUGGGCAUGCGGCGCAUUAGCUAGACGGCGGGGUAACGGCCCACCGUGGCGACGAUGCGUAGGGGUUCUGAGAGGAAGGUCCCCCACACUGGUACUGAGACACGGACCAGACUCCUACGGGAGGCAGCAGUGAGGAAUAUUGGUCAAUGGGAGAGAUCCUGAACCAGCCAAGCCGCGUGAGGGAAGACGGCCCUAUGGGUUGUAAACCUCUUUUGUCGGAGAACAAAACCCGGGACGAGUCCCGGACUGCGUGUAUCCGAAGAAAAAGCAUCGGCUAACUCCGUGCCAGCAGCCGCGGUAAUACGGAGGAUGCGGGCGUUAUCCGGAUUUAUUGGGUUUAAAGGGUGCGUAGGCGGUCCGUUAAGUCAGCGGUAAAAUUGCGGGGCUCAACCCCGUCGAGCCGUUGAAACUGGCAGACUUGAGUUGGCGAGAAGUACGCGGAAUGCGCGGUGUAGCGGUGAAAUGCAUAGAUAUCGCGCAGAACUCCGAUUGCGAAGGCAGUGUACCGGCGCCAGACUGACGCUGAGGCACGAAAGCGUGGGGAUCGAACAGGAUUAGAUACCCUGGUAGUCCACGCAGUAAACGAUGAAU
rnacentral:rRNA from 1 species